rnacentral:rRNA from 1 species
AGUGAACGCUGGCGGUAGGCCUAACACAUGCAAGUCGAACGGCAGCACAGUAAGAGCUUGCUCUUACGGGUGGCGAGUGGCGGACGGGUGAGGAAUACAUCGGAAUCUACUUUUUCGUGGGGGAUAACGUAGGGAAACUUACGCUAAUACCGCAUACGACCUACGGGUGAAAGCAGGGGAUCUUCGGACCUUGCGCGAUUGAAUGAGCCGAUGUCGGAUUAGCUAGUUGGCGGGGUAAAGGCCCACCAAGGCGACGAUCCGUAGCUGGUCUGAGAGGAUGAUCAGCCACACUGGAACUGAGACACGGUCCAGACUCCUACGGGAGGCAGCAGUGGGGAAUAUUGGACAAUGGGCGCAAGCCUGGUCCAGCCAUACCGCGUGGGUGAAGAAGGCCUUCGGGUUGUAAAGCCCUUUUGUUGGGAAAGAAAAGCAGCAGGUUAAUACCCCGCUGUUCUGGCGGUACCCAAAGAAUAAGCACCGGCUAACUUCGUG